rnacentral:misc_RNA from 1 species
CCGAGUUUUCAACUCCCUAACCCUUAUGUAACCUACCUAUUGUUGCUUCGGCGGACUCGCCCCAGCCGGACGCGGACUGGACCAGCGGCCGUCGGGGACCUCAAACUCUUGUAUUCCAGCAUCUUCUGAAUACGCCGCAAGGAAAACAAAUGAAUC